GUGUCAGCCGCCGCGGUAAUACGAAAGGGGCUAGCGUUGUUCGGAAUUACUGGGCGUAAAGCGCACGUAGGCGGCCGUGUAAGAUGGGGGUGAAAUCCCUGGGCUCAACCCAGGAACUGCCUUCAUGACUGCAUAGCUCGAGGAUGUGAGAGGUUGGCGGAAUUCCGAGUGUAGAGGUGAAAUUCGUAGAUAUUCGGAAGAACACCAGUGGCGAAGGCGGCCAACUGGCACAUUUCUGACGCUGAGGUGCGAAAGCGUGGGGAGCAAACAGGAUUAGAUACCCGCGUAGUCC
rnacentral:rRNA from 1 species